AUUUUUUUAUAUAUAUAUCGAAUGGCUGUAAAAGUUGUUGCAUUUUUGUACUUGUUUGCUGAUUUGAUUUCUGUUUUGCUCGCUUUGAUUUUGAAAAUAUCUGCCUUUAUGCCAUUCAUGUCAUGGAAAAGCGAGACAAACUAAGAGUUAAGAGAGCUGGAAUUUGGGGGAGGGGGGGGUGUUAAUUAAAGAUUAGUGCCAAUUUAAAAUGAUUUUAGAGAUUGGAAUUUUGUUGGGUUUUUGUAGCUUUCAAAAUCAGAGUUAAACGUAGAUGAAGUUGAGUGGUAAAGUUGUGAUCUUUUUCAAGUUAGAAAUUAGAAUCACCUGAAAAGAUUGGUUAAGUUUCAAUCUUUGAUCAAGAACCAAUGUAGACAGAACGCAAGCUGGCACCUUUAAUCAGUGUGGUUUGGCAAAUUUGUUUGGAUAAGGAAUGAUAGUUUAAACUUUGGACAUCAAUAACAUGUUCUACGUUUGUUAUCAGACUAGACAGUGGCACCCCUGGGAAGUUGAAGUUGAAAAUGCACGACUUAGCCUGUAUAAAAUGCACCAAGCCCUGGGUUAGAGUCAGAAGCGUGCUGGAUUCUGUUUUAUGAUGAGUGCCGGGCAGGGAACUUAGUUUGGAUGCCUCUGCAUCACAAUCAGUUUAGCUGUAGUAUGAAGAGAUUGUGUGCUAGGAAGUUUCUUCUUUAGAUUGAAAAAUCUCUUUUAUGUUGUCAUUGACAACGGUGUAAAGCAUUGGUAGUCUAGCCAUUUCAUCCCCGGAAUGAGCAGAGCUACAGUAUAAGAGGGUCCACUAACAGGAGCGAGUAGAGAAGUUUACUAUUGAAAUAAAAAGGCUAGUUGUCGCUUAAGCUAGUACUUUCCUCAGGUACCAACAAGUGCGCGGUUCCUCUGCUGACAAAAGAAAGCUCACUAAUCUCGACUAAGAAAGAGAUUCGUUCAUUUUAGUACAGGGAAAGAGAUGAGGGUUUGUACCAACUAAGAAGUUAUUACAGACUGGAGAAAAGCCCAGACUAUUAUAGUUCACAAAUCGAAGCAGAAAGGGAACGGACUGGUGUCAGACUUAAAAGUCCAAGCACGAGCUAGUAGAAGUUGCUAGUUCUUCUUUACAUUGAAAAAUCUCUUUUUUAAAAGAAGUUCUUUAUAUUGCCAUUGACAAUGGUGUAAAGCAUCGGUACCAUUUUCGCAGAUGCAUUGCAUGAAUGCCUUGCAUGGCAUGCUGCUUUUUAGGAAGUUCAAUUCACUUAGUGUGAUGAUCUGUUGAAGCAUAGUUAUGUUUCCUGGUUCCGUGAUCUAAAAAAUGACAUAAAUUCUCCAAUUUUGUUGCCUAUAGCUCUGUUGAAUCAUAGUAUUAGUUAUGUUUCAUUAUGCCAUAAUAUGAUCAUGACAUAACAUUCACCAAUUCAGCUUCCUGUAGCCCAAUUGGAAUUUUUGCUAUUCUAGAGAGCUAGUUUUUACAUGCCAGAACAUUAGCAGCUUAUAGAUUUACAUAAAUAGUUGAGCUGUCAAAGAUAUUCAACUUGCGUUGUUGUCCAUGGUAUUUGCUUCCUUCUCUUAUACACGUAUCUGAAUCUUUUCUGGUUUGAACGGAAAGACAAUUUUGCCAACCAUUGCUUUUUCUGAUUUGCGAGCGGUUAGUCUAUUGUAUCAAACACUUAAAAAAAGAAUCCUUUGAAUGAAAUGUGCCAUAAAUAAGAGAAGUUUUGGAAAGCAGUGAAAUAAGAAAGAUUCCACCUGAAUUUCAUACAAAAUGAAUAGGAGGUGGUCGAACUCGACCAAGCUCUCUGAAAGUCCAUGAUUGAGCAUCUUCACAGGUCAGUAUAUGGGAACACAAAAAUGCCACUAGAUUUGUAAGUUUCCAAGCAGUCGAAGUAAAAUGCCAGAUAGCUGUCCUUCUCUUUUUUGGAGAUUUUUGUUUGCUUUCUACGUUCUUAUACUUACUGCUUCAAAGGAAAAAUAAAUUCUAUUUAGAUGUAUUUAGCGGCAUGGAAUUGGGACUUUAAUGGCUCUUGUAGAUGUCCUGCAGGCAAUGCUUUUCUCAGUGGUGUUCUCUUAUGUUUUAUUUUAACAGAUCAGUGUUCCAUUUCCUUGGUAUUCAGAAAAGGCUCGGAAGUAUGCCAUCAGAAUCUGAUAAGUGGGGAUGGGAACAUGUUAGCGUGUUUGGUGGAUUUGACAGGGGAAGUGGUACAAAAAGGUGGAAAUGUAACCACUGUAAUCUACGAUAUAAUGGGUCUUAUUCACGUGUCAGGGCUCACCUACUAGGGUUCUCAGGUGUUGGGGUCAAAAGCUGCCCUGCUAUAGACAGGUCUUUACGAGAAGCAUUUCAGGUCCUAGAAGAGGAGCGUGUUUCACAGAAGAAGAAAAAGAAUUCUGUCAUUGGGAAGCCUUGUAAACGCACUCGGACUUCUCAGCCAACUCUUGCCUGGAAAACCAUCACAAAAGAAGAUAUAGAUGACAUAGUAGCUAGAUUUUUUUAUGCUGAUGGAUUAAAUAUUGAUAUCGUCAACUCUCCUUACUUUCGUGAAAUGGUGAAAGCAAUUGGUGCUUUUGGGUCUGGGUAUGAACUCCCAUCAAUAGAUAAGCUGUCUGAUUCUUUUUUAAGCAAAGAGAAAGCGAGGAUUGAAAAAUCAGUAGCUCUAGUUAGGGAGUCAUGGCCACAUACAGGAUGCACAAUACUGUGUGCCAGUCGCUUAGAUGGUGCAUUAGGUAGCAAACAUGUCAAUAUAUUUAUCUCCAGCCCAAGGGGACUUGUAUUUUUAAAGGCAGUUGAUGUCAAUGAUACUGACGAGGGAGAGCACGUGUUUAUUGGUGCUCUCGCUGAUACUAUUAUGGAAGUUGGCCCCACAAAUGUUCUUCAGAUAGUUUCACAUCUAGGCGAUGCAUGCAAAUCAUCUGAGUCCUAUUUAUCGUCAAAGUUCCCUAAUAUCUUCUGGUCUCCUUGCACUUCACACUCUGUCUUAAUGUUGAUGGAAGAAAUGGCCGAACUGGAAUGGAUAAAACCUGUUGUCUUGUGUGCCAAGGCAAUUGAGCAAUGCAUGAUCACAUAUCAACAUACUUCUUUGUGCACUUUUGGUCAAGAUUUGAAAGAGUUCUCUGAUCCAAUCUCUGCCAAAUUUGCACCUUCAUAUUGCUUUCUCCGGAGGGUCCUUGAGCUAAGGCAAUCACUCCAGGAUGUGGUUGCAAGUGAACACUGGAAGCAAUGGAAGAAUAAUAUGGCAGAGGAUACUGUAAAUGUUGAAUCUGCCAUUUUAGAUGAUGGUUUCUGGAGCAAGGCUGAUUUAUUGUUGCAGUUAUAUGAGCCUUUUGUAAGUUUGCUUGCUACAAUUGAUAUCGACAAAUCUGUUAUUGGUGCAGUUUAUGACUGGCGGGUUCAGGCACUUGAAGCCUUGAGGAGUCAGGCAAUUGAUGAUGGCAUAUUGAAUCAGUUAGAAGGACUGAUUGAGAACAGGUGGGAUGCUCUAUUUUCCCCUCUUCAUGCUGCAGGUUAUUUACUGAAUCCUAGAUAUAUUGGAAAAGGUCAAACAAAGGAUAAAUCUGUAAUGCGGGGCUGGAAGGCUACGCUAGAAAGAUAUGAGAGUGAAAGCACAGCCAGAUGUGUUCUCAGAGAGCAGCUCAGCUCAUACUGGCGUCUGGAAGGAUCCUUGGGAGAGGAAGAUGCCGUGGAUUGUAGGGAUAAAAUGGAUCCAGUUGUUUGGUGGGAAAACUUCGGUUUUGAAACACCCAACUUACAAACACUAGCCAUAAAGGUUCUGAGCCAGGUUUCAAGUGUUGCAAUGUGCGAAGAGAUUUGGCAAGCUAGUGACUUCUCAUGUCGAGAAUCAGCAAACAGGUUGGGAGAGCAGAGAAUGGAAGAUCUUUUUUUUGUUCGAAACAAUCUCAGGCUUCAUGGUCAAAGAAAUGGGAAUCUGUGCUUCUCAUCUGGCCAACGAAAUGCCUUUUCAAGCUCCUUUUCUGGAGUUAAGACAUGGGAUGGUCUGCAUCUUGAUCAAUCUAAUACAACGGUAGAUGUCCAUGACAAAUUAUGAAAUAGCUUGCUCCGUUUCUAAAUGGGCUCUGGACACCGACCAAAGUCGUGCAUCCAAUAAUCAGCAGGUUGCUCGUUAGCUACCUGCAUUCACUGGACUUUGCUGUGCACUAAUCAGGACGAUCUUUUUGAGUGACCAUCCAUCCCUCCCCCUUCGAUGUACAAAAGAAGAAACAGGAAUGGAGCAGCAAGAAAGGGUCAGUCUACUUUGUAUUUGUUGGCCACGACAACAUUAAAACAUGUUUGACUCUUGACCCUAAUCCACAUGUGGCAUAAAUCACGGUACCUAAAAUGUGUAUAAAUUUUGUUGUUUUAUGAGUGGUGGAGAGAGGUCAAUAUUAGAUUAUUAUUAUUAAUAUCAUUGCAGUUUAGAGGAAGGA